UGUGGUUUAUUAACGUUUAUUAAGGUUAGCUUUACCCUGCAAACAAAGAUGAGAAAACACUGUCAAGUCUGUGUCCCAAAUUAAACUCUAUUCUCUAUAUAGUGCACUACCUUUGGCCAGACACCCUUCCCCAUAGGGUCCUGGUGAAAAGUAGUGCACUACCUUUGGCCAGACCCCCUUCCCCCCCAUAGGUCCUGGUGAAAAGUAGUGCACUACCUUUGGCCAGACCCCCUUCCCCCCCAUAGGUCCUGGUGAAAAGUAGUGCACUAUAAAGGGAAUUGGGUGCCAUUUGAGAGGCAGACAGGGAUCUAGGCCAGACAGGGAUCUAGGCCAGACAGGGAUCUAGGCCAGACAGGGAACUAGGCCAGACAGGGAUCUAGGCCAGACAGGGAUCUAGGCCAGACAGGGAUCUAGGCCAGACAGGGAUCUAGGCCAGACAGGGAUCUAGGCCAGACAGGGAUCUAGGCCAGACAGGGAUCUAGGCCAGACAGG